GAGCAUGAACUGUGUAUGUGCGAGGCAAGACAAGCCAUUGUCAGAUCAGGAAAUUAUGAAUCUCUGUUUGUUCCUGUGCAGGACAUUUGCCUUUAUGGAACUGAAACAGGAAAGAAAAUGCUGCAGGUACAUUAGGUGAGAAAUACAGCUUAAAAUUUGAUGGAUCAUUCAGAACAUCAUUAUUCUGUAUUUCAGUGGGAUGACAGGCAGAGCUGGAGGAGGAGAAGUUUUAAUUGCUGAGACUGCAAAACUUCUCCACAGCCAGAGGACAUUACUGCAUUCCUGCCUCCAGGUCCUUAUCAUUCAAACAAGCAGAAGCCACUGCUCACACAAAGGCCACCACAGAAGUCACAGGCUGAGAUUGGUGAAUGUGGCUAUAAAAGGCAAGCGGCUGUGAGAUGGUAUCUCUACAGAAACAGCACAAAAAAGCACGUGGAGAACAGGAAGGAAAAGUAGGAAAAAAUAACUACUAUGAAUGAAAGGAAGAGUCAACAAGGAAAAACAAAAGCAGGAACAUUUUAGGCAGAACACGUCUGAAAAUAACCUCAGAGGUCUCAUAGGAGACUUUUAUUUCUGCCUUGUUUCUUACAAUAUUCAGGAUCUGCUGGACAAGAUAUCAGAGAAGACUAAAAUCAGUAUGGAUGAAGCAAGUAUUACAAGCUUCUGCUUAUGCACAAUCUUUGAGAUAAACAGGAUUGAAGGAAGCUGUAAAGAGACUCCUAGAGAACUAACAAGGAGCACUAAAACAAUAUUGCACACGUCAGUCUCAGGAAUCUACACAUGUUGUAAGUGAAGUUCCAUCUGGUCACAACAUCAUGGAUCAUCUGGGCAACAGCCAGGCUUCAUUUGCUUCAUGUCCUGGACAGCAUGAUGGCAGCCGGAUAGGAAUAUGUGAGUGACUGACCAACCGCAACCGAGCUGGCCCCAGAGGAUUACUCUAAUAAUGGCUCUUCACUAUGGAGCAGUGGUGUCUGUGUGACUUGUUUUCUUUUUUAAAUGACUCAAGCUGGGCUCUGUGGGAUUGCUGAGCUUUUCUAUUAGGUGCUGGCAAUGUACUGGAGGCACAGCUUGGCUCUGCUUUAACAGAACUGGAAGUGUAUGUUGACUAUGCAUGAAAUUCUUCCCAAAACAUUCUUGUAAGCAAAGACCCAAAGAAACCCUGUGUAUUUCAGCUGCUUUUCCAGGCUUGUACUGCAUGUAUUUCACAGCAAAGCAAAGAGCAUACAAAACGCCAUCAUACCAGGGUUUCACAAAUGCUUACCCCUGUUUUGUGUGAGGGCAAAAAAAGAGGUAAAGUGAAUGAUUGACUUAAUUCUGCUCAACCCCAGCUCUGAGCACCUCAGGGAGAUGCCCUGCAGCCAACAUUGUCUCCAGGGCAGCAGUGGGUGGGCAGAGACCUUUGGGCAGCACUGCCUGUCUGCUCUUGGGCAGUGCUGCUCUGGAGGGGGGUGCUGAGCCAGGAGAGAGAGGCAUGCAACUGCCAGCACCAUGCAAUGCCAGGUGCUCACAGGGGCAGUGCUCACUAGGGAUGCCUUUCUUCUUGGGCUGGAAAGCUAUUCAAAUCCUCAUACAGUAAUAAGUGCUUCCCAAAAUCUAUCCAUACUCUACUGGUAGGACUAAACAAUGGUUUUUAAGUGCAAUAAUGCUUGUUUUGGACAGCAAAUGUAUCCAGUUAGUGAUAUAGAAUUUAGUCAUUUGUUUCUGCUUCAUAAUGUUGGCAUCUUCCAUAAAAGUGUGUUGUAAGACAUUGGAGACUUCUUACCUUUUCUUAUGUGUUUAUCUAUCCUAUACCUAACGAUUCUGACGAGGGCACGCACAGCUUUCUGCAGAGAUGCGGUAUCAACGAGACCAGCAGCAUCACUAUCGGCGGAGAGUUGUGCCCGAGCCUGCGGAGGAGACCAACGACCCUCGAAGCCCUCAUAGCUCGCAGCUCGCAGUGGCAGUGGCCCUGCCGAUCCGCUUGGAGUCACUGCAGCACAGCACCUGCCCGCUGCCGGGCCCACUGCUGCUCGUCACCGGCAGUUCGUUUCGAAUUCGUUAGGUGAUGAGCUUGAGUAGAAAUAGAGCCGAGAAAGCUACAUACAUUUCGGCAGGCAUUUGAGGACUACCUUUUUGCUUUGCAGAGUGAAAUAAAAGCGAAAUGUUUGCUCA
rnacentral:lncRNA from 1 species